rnacentral:lncRNA from 1 species
UUUCUCUCACGUGUUCUCACUCCUCUCUCCAGCUGCAGUUUCUGUUCCACAGCAAUUUUUCCCCUCCAUAAAUGUCAUCCUAGAGCUGCAACCACCAGCUCUGAUGGGCUCGGCCUUGGCCAGUGGUGGGUCCAUCUUGGAGCUGGCUGGCAUUGGCUCUGUUGGACACAGGGGAAGCUUCUAGCAGCUUCUCACAGAAGCCACCCCUGUAGCCCCUACACUACCAAACCUUGCUGUGCAAAUCCAAUACAAAUGCACUGUUAAGAUCUUAGUUUGCGUGGACAAAUGAUUCACCUUUUCCUAGUACUUUUUGCUACAUAGGCAGCAUUGAAGCCUGCGUUAACAUACAUUAUGUCCAUUUAGCAAAAGGCAAGCACCAUGAUGGGGGGAUGACACCUCUCCAAAACACUGGGUUUUUUGGAGACCGGCUCACUAUGGCUCGGUGAGGAGAUGAACACGGUCAGUACUCCACGAGGCCGUCCUCCAGAUCCUCGUCUCUCCAUUUACUCCUCCUGCAAGCUGGGAACUGGAGACACGCACGGCACUCGCCUAAGCAGCCCAGAAGCGAAGCCCGCGUAACUCAAGCCUGCAGCGGCAGGCGGGAACCACCAGGGAUCAGGAGAUCACCGAAGAUCGACUCCGGCCGGCCGGGGCGCCUCAGAGACCGAGCUCCCGCACCGGCCGCCAGCCUGCAAGUGACUGCCGCAAGCCAGGGCCACCGAUGCCGCCACUGGGCUGACGGAGCGCUCGCCGAUGCGGAGCGAGGGCUGCACGCACUAACCCCUUACCAACGUAAGGCUCAACGCCACGGUCCCAGGGAAGACCGGCCCGGGGAGAAGAACCGCUCCCCGCAAACCAAGACACGGGCGGAGGCGCGGAACCGAAGGACCGCCGCCACACGCUCCGUGGCCCAAAGGGACGCCGGCGCUCGGCCGGCGCCUCAGCGGCAGGGCAGGGCAGGGCCCCGCGGGCUGACAGACGCCCGCCGCCGCUCCGACGACAGAGCAUGCGCAGCGCUCUUCGCCAACGGAGGCCGUGCCAUUAAGGCGGCUGCCCCCGCGCCGUGCCCGCUGCGCCUGCGUCACCUCCCUCCCCGCCGGCCGGGCGGCUGCACUGCGCCUGCGCGGCUCCGGCGGGGGCGGGGAGCCGGAGCCUGCGCGGUUGCCGGGGUGACGGGAACACAACAUGGCGCGCUGAGGGCCUGGCGGCCGGGAGGUGUUCGGCGGUCGGGAGGGCGCCCGGUCGCUCUCUCGCUCACCCCGAGACCUGCAGGCGAGCGCAGGAUGAACAGGCUGGCUUUGACAUUAUAUGAACAUAAAACAUAGCCAGUGUGUAUCUGACUGAUUG